CCUACGGGUGGCAGCAGUAGGGAAUAUUGCUCAAUGGGGGAAACCCUGAAGCAGCAACGCCGCGUGGAGGAUGAAGGUUUUCGGAUUGUUAACUCCUUUUGUUAGAGAAGAUAAUGACGGUAUCUAACGAAUAAGCACCGGCUAACUCCGUGCCAGCAGCAGCGGUAAUACGGAGGGUGAAAGCGUUACUCGGAAUCACUGUGCGUAAAGAGCGCGUAGGCGGGAUAGCAAGUCCGAUGUGAAAUCCAAUGGCUUAACCAUAGAACUGCAUUUGAAACUGGUAUUCUAGAGUAUGGGAGAGGUAGGUGGAAGUCUUGGUGUAGAGGUAAAAUCCGUAGAUAGCAAGAGGAAUACUCAGUGCGAAGGCGACCUGCUAGAACAUAACUGACGCUGAUGCGCGAAAGCGUGGGGAGCGAACAGGAUUAGAUACCCCUGUAGUC
rnacentral:rRNA from 1 species